UAGGGAAUCUUCCGCAAUGGGCGAAAGCCUGACGGAGCAACGCCGCGUGAGUGAUGAAGGUCUUCGGAUCGUAAAACUCUGUUAUUAGGGAAGAACAAAUGUGUAAGUAACUAUGCACGUCUUGACGGUACCUAAUCAGAAAGCCACGGCUAACUACGUGCCAGCAGCCACGGUAAUACGUAGGUGGCAAGCGUUAUCCGGAAUUAUUGGGCGUAAAGCGCGCGUAGGCGGUUUUUUAAGUCUGAUGUGAAAGCCCACGGCUCAACCGUGGAGGGUCAUUGGAAACUGGAAAACUUGAGUGCAGAAGAGGAAAGUGGAAUUCCAUGUGUAGCGGUGAAAUGCGCAGAGAUAUGGAGGAACACCAGUGGCGAAGGCGACUUUCUGGUCUGUAACUGACGCUGAUGUGCGAAAGCGUGGGGAUCAAACAGG
rnacentral:rRNA from 1 species